UGUAAUACAUUUUUCAAAGUUCAUCCACAGCUCCAUUCAUUUUGCUGGAGUAGGCCGGAUUUAUGACCUGCACAGCGAGGAGGCAGAUAAGUGACACACACACAUCACUUACACACACCACAGGUGCUGGUUUGUAACAAGGACUUGGACUGUUACACACUAUCAUGAUGAUGAUCCGGUCAUGUGAUCUGAAGUGUCAUCUCUCUGCAUCUAUGGAUCUGAACAGUUCUCCUCCUCUCUUUCUCUUUCUCUUUCUCUUCCUCUGCAGCGUCCUCGCUAGCCCACUACAUGCCCACUAGCAGGUACCCACACCUCCUGAUAUGAUAAUCUCUGGAUAUUCAUGGGCAGGGAUUGAUGCUGGUUUCUGACUGGUGGGAGAGCACUGUCAGUUUAUGAUUAACAUUCAUCAACAUAAACAAGUGUCUACAAUCAACUCAGACUGUUUUUUUUUUUUUUUUUUAAGUGUAAGUCGAUGCACAGAUUCCUGUUUCAAGGACUUAUUGUUCUCACGAAUGUAGGGUUGUGUUUCAUUGGAGCAUAAUAUUGGAAUUGGUUUUAGUCCCAAAAGCAUCUAUUUCGAAGUAAUGGAGGAAGUUGAGACAGUGAUAUGUAAAGUAAAUGGCACACAGUAUAAAAUGCAAAAGUUUUGAUGAAAAAAAUCUUGGACUGUUUUCAGUAAAGCAGAAGACUUCAUGUUAAGAUAUACAUAAUGUAAGUGAGAAAGUUUCUACAAAGCGUUUCAAAUGGCAGGACAGAUGUUCAAACAUCCAUCAAAGCCAGAUGUUUGAAAUCUUGAUGAGACAAUGCCGUGUAAACGCCCUCUCAGACUGUUGCACUCUAAUCUUUAAAAAUAACCCAAAAGAUGAGGAAUGUGUUUUAGAGGGCUGUAGUGAGCUUUUUUACAUCUUUACCUGGAGAUCCGUCACUGUAACACAAACAUCAUUGAGCGUGUUUCCCUUUCAGGGCUUUGUGUUGGACCUGCUGUCUGUGGCCCGGACAUCAUCAGUGUUUUUCUCCUCAUCUGUUUGCUUUCGAUGCUGCAGAGCUGUUCAUCUGAUUAAUGAAGAGGCCAGAGCACCGUGACUUUGUGGUAAAUGUUUAUGCUGAAUAAAUGUCAGCCAGAGUGUUUGUCCCAGUGAUGAUGAGCAGAGAGAGGAGCCAACACUCUCCGGACCUCCCUCUACUGAAACUGAA